AGUUUGUUUAGAGACAGUUCGUUAAUUUGAUGUGGUUAUUUAUAUUACCUUUUGCAUCAUGAUCUAUUGAUGGUUAUUUCGGUUUGAGGUACUCCGAAAGAUGUCGAUAUCUAUCUUUAUUGCUUGGUGUUUUUUUCUAAGGCGGGUAGCCUAGAUGAAAUAAGGAUAGUGUUUUGAUAAAUAAUUCGGGUCAUCUAAUAUCUGGUUGGGGGUUGUUUAUGUUGUUUUAUUUGACGGGCUAUGGUGUCAGUUGAAGGAUUAUAGCAUUUGUGAUUUGGUAGGUUUCUUGGGUUAAAGUUACCCUUGAGAAUUGUGUGUGUUAAUACUCUUUUCUUUUUUAUGUUUGCUUAAAUUAAAAAGCCCCCUUAAUAAUUUGUGUUUCUUAGUAUGAUAGAAUAAGUAGGUUUUAAAUACUUUCAUUUUUUCUCGAUAAUCUUCGGUCUGUUUAUUAAAAACAUUUCUAUCUUUUUUUUUAGAUAGUAGUGCCUGCCCAAUGCUUAUGUCAAUGGCCGCAGUAUUUUGACUGUGCUAAGGUAGCAUAAUUAGUUGCCUCAUAAUUGGGGGAUUGUUUGAAUGGUUUGACCAGAGGACUUAAUUAGAUUGAAAGUUUUUCUGAAAUUGGUUUGUUGGUGCAGAACCCAACAGGAAUUAGUUAGACGGAAAGACCCCGAGAUCUUUAUGUUGUGAUGUUUACUUGGGGCAAGGCUAUAUGUUUUAUGUAGUUUUGGAUCCUUUAGGAUAAUAGGUUUAAGUUACCUCGGGGAUAACUAGGUAAAAAACAAGGAGAGAUCUAAUCGAUUUGUUUAAUUGCCAUCUCGAUGUUGACUUGGGAAAUAUAUUAGGGUGCAGAAGUUUUAAUAUGCGGUCUGUUCGACCUUUAUUCCCUCAUGAGUUGAGUUAAGACCGGCGUGAGCCAGGUCGGUUCUUAUCUACUGUUGUUGUAAAUUAGUACGAAAGGAUUGUUUGCAUUUUAUG
rnacentral:rRNA from 1 species